rnacentral:rRNA from 1 species
CACACACAGGUGGACUGGUAGAGUAUACCAAGGCGUUUGAGGGAACUGCGUUGAAGGAACUAGGCAAAUUGCUCUCGUAACUUCGGGAUAAGAGAGCCUCUUCGGCGGGCAACCGUUGAAGAGGGGCACAAACUAGGGGGUAGCGACUGUUUACUAAAAACACAGGGCUCUGCGAAGUGGCAACACGACGUAUAGGGUCUGACGCCUGCCCGGUGCCGGAAGGUUAAAAGGAGAUGUGCAAGCAUUGAAUUGAAGCCCCGGUAAACGGCGGCCGUAACAAUAACGGUCCUAAGGUAGCGAAAUUCCUUGUCGGGUAAGUUCCGACCUGCACGAGGGCGUAACGACUUCCCCACUGUCUCCAACGCAAACUCAGCGAAAUUGAAAUCUCCGUGAAGAUGCGGAGUUCCCCCGGUUAGACGGAAAGACCCCGUGCACCUUUACUAUAACUUUGCAGUAGUACUAGGGAAUGGAUGUGUAGGAUAGGUCGGAGCCUUUGAAGCAGUGGCGCUAGCCAUUGUGGAGGCAACCUUGAAAUACGACCCUUUUGUUGUCUGGUAUCUAACCGCAUCCCGUUAUCCGGGAUCGGGACACUGCAUGGUGGGUAGUUUGACUGGGGCGGUCGCCUCCGAAAGAGUAACGGAGGCGCGCGAUGGUGGGCUCAAGCCGGUCGGAAAUCGGCUGUUGAGUGCAAGAGCAUAAGCCCGCCUGACUGCGAGACUGACAAGUCGAGCAGAGACGAAAGUCGGUUCUAGUGAUCCGGUGGUUCUGCGUGGAAGGCCAUCGCUCAACGGAUAAAAGGUACGCCGGGGAUAACAGGCUGAUACCCCCCAAGAGUCCACAUCGACGGGGGUGUUUGGCACCUCGAUGUCGGCUCAUCACAUCCUGGGGCUGGAGCAGGUCCCAAGGGUAUGGCUGUUCGCCAUUUAAAGUGGUACGUGAGCUGGGUUUAGAACGUCGUGAGACAGUUCGGUCCCUAUCUGCCGUGGGUGUAGGAAGCUUGAGAGGAUUUGUCCCUAGUACGAGAGGACCGGGAUGAACGUACCUCUGGUGUACCAGUUGUUCCGCCAGGAGCAUCGCUGGGUAGCUAUGUACGGACGGGAUAACCGCUGAAGGCAUCUAAGCGGGAAACCCACCUCGAAACGAGGCUUCCCUUGAGAACCGUGGUAGACCACCACGUUGAUAGGCCAGGUGUGAAAGCGUCGUGAGGCGUGAAGCUAACUGGUACUAAUUGUAC